UUUUAGCCCUGAUAGUAGUGGAAAUCCUUUUUCUGUCCGCCGCGGCGGACAGAAAAGAUUACUUCACUUAAUUCAUAUUUAAUCGGAGUUCAGUGAACUUCGUUUGCAACGAAUAGCAGGAUUAGCU
rnacentral:sRNA from 4 species